UGGACCGGCCAUAGCAACCGGGCAACACCCGGACUCGUCAGAUCCCGGAAGUUAAGCCGGUUGCGUUGAGGUUCCCCGUGAGCGCCGAGAGGGCUCGCAGGGGCCUCAAGCCGGUGCCA
rnacentral:rRNA from 2 species